rnacentral:rRNA from 1 species
UACGUAGGGUGCGAGCGUUAAUCGGAAUUACUGGGCGUAAAGCGUGCGCAGGCGGUUCUAUAAGUCAGAUGUGAAAUCCCCGGGCUCAACCUGGGAACUGCAUUUGUGACUGUAGAGCUGGAGUGCGGCAGAGGGGGAUGGAAUUCCGCGUGUAGCAGUGAAAUGCGUAGAUAUGCGGAGGAACACCGAUGGCGAAGGCAAUCCCCUGGGCCUGCACUGACGCUCAUGCACGAAAGCGUGGGGAGCAAACAGG